rnacentral:rRNA from 1 species
AUUGAACGCUGGCGGCAGGCCUAACACAUGCAAGUCGAGCGGAUGACGGGAGCUUGCUCCUGGAUUCAGCUGCGGACGGGUGCGUAAUGCCUAGGAAUCUGCCUGGUUGUGGGGGAUAACGUCCGGAAACGGGCGCUUUUCCCGCAUACGUACUGCGGGUGAAAGUCGGGGAUCUUCGGACCUCACGCUUUCAGAUGAGCCUAGGUCGGAUUAGCUAGUUGGUGGUGUAAAGGCCUACCAAGGCGACGAUCCGUAACUCGUCUGAUAGGAUGAUCAGUCACACUAGAACUGAGACACGGUCCCUACUCCUACGGGAGGCAGCAGUGUGGAAUAGUCGGCAACAGGCGGAAGCCUUAUCCAGCCAUGCCGCGUGUGUCAGGAAGGGCUUAUGAGUGUAAAGUACUUUAAGUUGGGAAGAAGGGCAGUAAAAGAAUACCUAGCUGUUUUGACGUUACCAACAGAAUAAGCACCGGCUAACUUCGUG